rnacentral:rRNA from 1 species
UUGACCUCGGAUCAGGUAGGGAUCCCGCUG